rnacentral:rRNA from 1 species
AUUGAACGCUGGCGGCAUGCCUUACACAUGCAAGUCGAACGGCAGCGGGCCUUCGGGUGCCGGCGAGUGGCGAACGGUGAGUAAUGCAUCGGAACGUGCCAUUGAUGGGGGAUAACGUAGCGAAAGUUACGCUAAUACCGCAUAUUCUGUGAGCAGGAAAGCAGGGGACCGCAAGGCCUUUGCGCUCUUUGAGCGGCCGAUGUCAGAUUAGCUAGUUGGUGAGGUAAAGGCUUACCAAGGCGACGAUCUGUAGCGGGUCUGAGAGGAUGGAUCGCACACUGGAACUGAGACAGGUCCAGACUCCUA